rnacentral:lncRNA from 1 species
UAAUAUAAAAGUCAAUAUGGUACCAAAAGGCCUAAAAGCCCAACAUCGAUAACAUCCGAAACAUAAAAUACGAUAUAAACCGAAAGUCUGAAAUAGGAAUAACAUAAACGAUAAAAGUCCAAAGGCCUAAAGGCCCGAUAAAGAUAAAAGCGGUAAAAGCGAUAGAAGCCCAAAAGCCCAAUAGCACCGGUCCGAUAAUCACUCCUGCUCGUCGGUCUCACCU